ACUUCUUCCGGCCUCUCGUCCCUUAAAGGGCCCGGGCUGAAAGCUUCACCUCACCUGGCUAAGGCUGAAGCUGGCUAGAAGAAAACCACCACGUCCUGACGCCCUGCCAUGGCCUCCUGACAGUCCACCCCCGUGCAGGCAGCCACAAAUGAGCUCAUUUAAAACAAGACUGUAGCUGCAACAAGGCUAAAAGUCAGACAGCCAACUCUGGCAGGUGUCAGAGUGCCCGGUUGCAUCGUCAGCGAGGGCAUUGUACUCCAAUCCUUUCACCUUCAACAGCAAUAAGAACCGCUGCCAGGUAUUUCUGCACGGCCAUCUGCUUUCUAUAGCGACUGUAGCUGUCGGUGAAGAUCCCAUCUGAGUGUCUUUUGGAUAAGGGCUCUGACUCGUCCUCCAUGCUGUUGUCCUCGCUGGAAAACAAAGCAAAGCAAAGCAAACAAAAAUGACAUUAAUUAAAGGUGAGGCCUCUCACUUCUCA